AGUGAACGCUGGCGGUAGGCCUAACACAUGCAAGUCGAACGAGUGGCGGACGGGUGUGGAAUACAUCGGAAUCUACUUUUUCGUGGGGGAUAACGUAGGGAAACUUACGCUAAUACCGCAUACGAAUGUAUGAGCCGAUGUGGGAUUAGCUAGUUGGCGGGGUAAAGGCACACCAAGGCGACGAGCCGUAGCUAGUCUGAGCGGAUGCACGUCCACACGGGAACUGAGACACGGUCCAGACUCCUACGGGAGGCAGCAGUGGGGAAUAUUGCACAAUGGGCGAAAGCCUGAUCCAGCCAUACCGCGUGGAUGAAGAAGGCCUUCGGGUUGUAAAGCCCUUUUGUUGGGAAAGCGGUACCCAAAGAAUAAGCACCGGCUAACUUCGUGCCAGCAGCCGCGGUAAUAC
rnacentral:rRNA from 1 species